UGGGGAAUAUUGGGCAAUGGGCGCAAGCCUGACCCAGCAACGCCGCGUGAAGGAAGAAGGCUUUCGGGUUGUAAACUUCUUUUCUUAGGGACGAAGAAAGUGACGGUACCUAAGGAAUAAGCCACGGCUAACUACGUGCC
rnacentral:rRNA from 1 species